UAAUUCACAUACAUUCGUGGCCCACAUCCUGGGCCAUCCGGGGUUCUCCGUGGCAACGGUUGCCAGGGAAACGCGCGGUGGUCCUAUCAAGAAACGACAGAUUUCGAAGCCCUAGGGCUUUUUUUGGCGGGAAAGAAAGGAAGGUGGGGUAAUGCUCAUUUUUUGAUGAGGCUAGAAACUCAUCUCGUGAAAUACACAAAUAGAUGUGUUGUACACUUGUAUGUAAUUAUGCAGUUUAACUUUUUUUGUUUUUGUAGAAAUAAAGCCAACCAUGGUAAACAAAUCAUCCGUUGAAGAACAGGGCGAUUCAUGUGGGACGUCCCUCGCCGCUCCCGAGUGUCUCUGCGUGACCAAGCGAUUGGCCUCAGGCUACCGUGCUUGUCUAGAAAAUAUAGGCAUAUCAAUUGAUUCUGGCGCCGUCACUAUGGGAACAUGGCAGCCCAUUGUCAGGAUGUUAGGGGGGCCUCUAGUGUGGGAGUCCAGCUGCGUCCACCUCCGGUGUUCAGCCGCCGCCGGGCCGGGCCACCCUUCCCCCCACCGGGCUCCAGCCUGGCUGGAUCUGUUUGUUGUUUUUUUUUCCACCGAGAGGGGAGUGACUCACCACUCCGGUUUCCAAAGGACGCGGAGUGGGGGGAGGGCGGCGUUUUAACGUGAAAGGCCCUGUUUAAACAGGUGUUCCGGAGCGUGCUUGUGGCACUGACCCGGUUGCAUCCGCGGCAAAGGCGGUUCUGCCGCAUAGUUGCGCGCUGACGUCAGGGUAAUGUCACCCGCCUGUACCCUGAUUUCCGUCUGUCUGUUUUUUAUAGCAGGAGCAAAAAUCUAUUUAGUAGUGGGACAGUCAUGUGUGACAUUCUCUUCAGAUAGAAAGGAUGACUAUAAGGAGGUUUUAACACACAAGAGUCAAGACAAGAGUCAACGGAUGUGAGCUACCUGCUGGGAGCCAGCCGGCAUAAAUUGCAUGGAGGGCCGGAUCAAAUGCUCUUGCCCACGGGCCUCAAGCGGAGUAUGCACGUACCGACAAUUGGGACAAAUUUGGGAAUUUUCCGCCCCUUGUGAUCAAACAGUCUGGAUGGCGUGUGGCACCACACUGCCUCUCACAGGUUUUGAAGCUGCGACAUACAAGUCUGCAUCCUCAAACCUCCGGUGCAUUUUCCCCCCCCCCCCAAAAAAAUUAAUCUGUAAACCACUUAUUUUCAAGGGUAAUGUCAUAAAAUGAGUUUGUAAUUAAUUAAUAAAGUGUCAUAUGGUGUGGUAUCAACAA